GUGCUUGCUUCAGCAGCACAUAUGCUAAAAUUGGAACCAUACAGAGAUUAGCAUGGUCUCUGUGCAAGGAUGACACGCACAUGUGUGAAAUGUUCGAUAUUUCU